AGAGUUUGAUCCUGGCUCAGAACGAACGCUGGUAGCGUGGAUUAGGCAUGCAAGUCGAACGGGAUCACCCGGUUAGCAAUAAUUGGGUGUGAGAGUGGCGGAUUGGGGAGGAACACGUGAACAACCUGCCCUUGAGUUUGGGAAAACCGUUGGAAACGACGGCUAAUACCGGAUGUGGCGCCCCGUGACAUCACGGGAGCGCUAAAGGGGGCCGCAAGGCUCCCGCUCAUCGAGGGGUUCGCGCACCAUCAGCUUGUUGGCGGGGUAACGGCCCACCAAGGCCUACGGUUAGCUGGUCUGAGAGGAUGACCAGCCCCACUGGGACUGAGAUACUGCCCAGACUCCUACGGGAGGCUGCAGUCGAGGAUCAUUUGCAAUGGGCGAAAGCCUGACAAUGCGACGCUGCGUGGAGGAUGAAGGCCCUCGGGUUGUAAACUCCUGUCAUAGGGGAACAGGCGAUCUUACCUAAUACGUAAGUGAGUUGAGUGUACCCUAAGAGGAAUUGGCGGCUAACUCUGUGCCAGCAGCCGCGGUAAUACAGAGGCCAAGAGCGUUGUUCGGAUUUACUGGGCGUAAAGGGCGCGUAGGCGGUCUUGCGUGUCAAGUGUGAAAUCUCCGGGCCCAACCCGGAAAGUGCGCUUGAAACUACAGGACUUCGAGUCUGGGAGAGGGAAUCGGAAUAUAGGGUGUAGCGGUGAAAUGCGUUGAUAUCCUAUAGAACACCGGAGGCGAAGGCGGAUUCCUUGAACAGUACUGACGCUGAGGCGCGAAAGUCGGGGGAGCAAACAGGAUUAGAUUACCCUGGUAGUCCCGACCUUAAACGGUGCACACAAGGGGUGGG
rnacentral:rRNA from 1 species